GACGUAGGGUGCGAGCGUUGUCCGGAUUUAUUGGGCGUAAAGAGCUCGUAGGCGGCUCGUUGCGUCGGCUGUGAAAACCCGCAGCUCAACUGUGGGCUUGCAGCCGAUACGGGCGGGCUGGAGUUCGGCAGGGGAGACUGGAAUUCCUGGUGUAGCGGUGAAAUGCGCAGAUAUCAGGAGGAACACCGGUGGCGAAGGCGGGUCUCUGGGCCGAUACUGACGCUGAGGAGCGAAAGCGUGGGGAGCGAACAGG
rnacentral:rRNA from 1 species